rnacentral:rRNA from 1 species
AACGUGGGUAACCUGCCCUAAAGUCUGGGAUACCGCUUGGAAACAGGUGCUAAUACCGGAUAACAACAAUAGCUGCAUGGCUAUUGCUUAAAGGCGGCGAAAGCUGUCGCUAAAGGAUGGACCCGCGGUGCAUUAGCUAGUUGGUAAGGUAAUGGCUUACCAAGGCGACGAUGCAUAGCCGAGUUGAGAGACUGAUCGGCCACAUUGGGACUGAGACACAGCCCAAACUCCUACGGGAGGCAGCAG